UAGCUCAGCUGGUAGAGCAUUACACUUUUAAUGUAGUGGUCCUGGGUUCGAAUCCC
rnacentral:tRNA from 1 species